rnacentral:sRNA from 1 species
CCUCCGUCCAAAGAAAGAAAAUAAAUAGGGAUUUGUGCUGCGCGGACUUGCUUUUUGAAAAAUGAAAAAGAAUGAAACAGGGCCAAAGUUCCACCUAGUGCCAGCGCCGCAUUUCCCCAAGCGGCCGCCACAGCACAGCGCCACUUCCAUCACCAUCCGAGAAAAAGAAAAAUAGAAAAAAAAAAAAAAAAGGGAAAAGCAAAAAGUAAAUGGCGAUAGCGCGCGCUGCAGAGUGUGAGAGGGAGCCAGUCCGAUCCAACGGAAGAUCGACACCACGCCAUGGAUGGGCUUGGCGGCCUGGGGCACGACGGGCACGGGGAAG